GAGGAAAUGAGAUGAAGGAAAGAAUGCACUUGUAAAGCACAGUUAGGACAAGUUUGCUAGCAGGAAAAUAUUCAGCUUGCAAGAACAGAAAAAAAACCUCUUGAUUACAAAAGAAAACCAACAGCAAAGGCCCUACAAACAAAGAGAAGAACGAAAACGCUGUGAUUACAGAACGGCUGCACUGAAUUCAGCCCUGUGCAAGUGCUGAGAUUUUAGAAGAGCCGGGUGCAUCCUGACAGAAAGACACAAGCUGAGCUAAUAAGAACUGCAGCAGAUUUUGCAUGCACGUUGCAAACUGUGUCCCGAAAGGAGCAGGAUGGGGUGGAAGAGGCAGCGGCCACUGGCAGAGGAACGCAGGGCUGAGUCACGGCCGCAUCGUGCCAGCACUGCCUGCCCGCUGCCUGCAGUGCCUGGGAGAGUUCUCCGUGUUUCUCUCUCUUCCCUUUCUGCACAGGAAUCGUUACUCACUCUGCACACAAUGCCAGAGGGAAGUCAAUGGUAACGGCCUUCUCUAUGAAAGGAACACUAAGUUUACCUGUGAAGGAGGUAUUCCCACCUACGCCAAAUGCAUGACUGGAGAGAAUUUCAAGGCGUGGGCAUAGAUGCAUGUAACAGAGACUUGAUUUAAAUAAAAAUUGAGUCCAAAUUACUCAUCUGCUUUAAGGACUUUAGUUGUACACAUGUGAACGUCACUGCCCAGCAUGGUUCAUCACAGCUUCCCCUGUUUUUAACACCAUACAGGUCACACUGAAACCCAGUGAUAUCACUGUUCCAAAAUCCCCUUUAUCCUCACGGUGAAUAUGAACACAGUGUUUUAAACACCUUUGUUAAUCCCUGCUGGAGAAUAACAAAUCAUUCGUUUGAUUAAACUUUAUCUCUCAGACUUGGACAGACAUGGCUGCAACAUGAAAUGCCCCAAGUGAUAAGAGAGCUGAGCGGAGCAGGUCACACUAACUCUGUGUUGAAACACAGAUUUAGAUGUUAUACUGAUCUUCAGGUGAAGGCUCAGUUAUUGGAAGUGAUGCAGGCCCUACUUCUCUGAUUGGCACAAGGGCUGAUAAACAUUUCAGGUAGCCCAGGAAGAGUUGAUGAGCCCAGCUGGAAGUUUUGGCUGAUCCCUAGGAAAGGCUCAGCAGCACCAACACGAGCUCUGGAAAACAAUCCCCUUCUCCCAAGACAAUAUCUGGGAUAUGGAAAUAAAUAAAUGGAACCCUGCCUUAUAUUUCCUUAGAAAACAGGGUUGGAGAGCUCAAGGAUCCUCUGUGGGGACCUGAGCUUCCCCCAGCACUGCAGUGCUGGAGCUGGAUGAGCCCCACCAUCUUUAAUCAGAUCACUGGAAAUAUACAGAUGCUGAUCCGAACCCAAAUGGAAAUCUUACAUUAGGACAGAAUAUGGUGUAGGUGUUUUGGAAGCGUGGAUGUGUUCAGUGAAACACUCUCCCUCUGUGGAUGCUAACCUCGCUCGGACUUGUUUGUUCUGCAGCACCUUCCUUGCUCUGUAUGGUUACAAUUUAGCUUGCAUUUUUUUCAACCUAAAAAAAAAAAAAAGAAAAGGGGUAAAGUGAGAAAACAGAGGGUGGGGGGGAGAGUGAAAAAAAAAAAAGAGAGAUUUUUAAAUCAACUGUCAUUUCUGGCAAGGCUGAGGAUCCCGGCAAGGUAUUUGUUUAUUAUCAGGUAUUUCCUCAGGAUCAAAUCCAGAGGAGAGAAGUCUGGUACUAGUUAAAGUCUGUUUAAAAUCCUUCUUGAAAAGAGAUUUAUGCGAGGAAAUUACCUAACCUCAGGACAGAGGCUUAGUCAGAGGCAGCGUGGUUCAGCCGCUCGCAGUGCGCGGCUUUUUUUAGCCCCACUGAAGGCACCCAGUGAGAACAGCGGCAGAUUUUCGCUCACAUAACGGGAUCAAAGCUCCCAAUUGUUUCGAAGGAAAUGACCCAGCGGGAGGAGCGUGGCGGGCACUGCUGUUUGCUCCCAGCCUCC
ensembl:lncRNA